rnacentral:rRNA from 1 species
UACGAAGGGGGCAAGCGUUGUUCGGAAUUACUGGGCGUAAAGGGCUCGUAGGCGGCUUACCAAGUCAGGCGUGAAAUUCCCGGGCUCAACCUGGGGGCUGCGCUUGAUACUGGUGAGCUUGAAUGCGGGAGAGGAUAGUGGAAUUCCCAGUGUAGAGGUGAAAUUCGUAGAUAUUGGGAAGAACACCGGUGGCGAAGGCGGCUAUCUGGCCCGUAAUUGACGCUGAGGCGCGAAAGCGUGGGGAGCAAACAGG